rnacentral:rRNA from 1 species
GAUGAACGCUGGCGGCGUGCUUAACACAUGCAAGUCGAACGAAGCACCUUGAUUUGAUUCUUCGGAUGAAGAUCCUGGUGACUGAGUGGCGGACGGGUGAGUAACGCGUGGGUAACCUGCCUCAUACAGGGGGAUAACAGUUAGAAAUGACUGCUAAUACCGCAUAAGACCACAGCACCGCAUGGUGCAGGGGUAAAAACUCCGGUGGUAUGAGAUGGACCCGCGUCUGAUUAGGUAGUUGGUGGGGUAACGGCCUACCAAGCCGACGAUCAGUAGCCGACCUGAGAGGGUGACCGGCCACAUUGGGACUGAGACACGGCCCAAACUCCUACGGGAGGCAGCAGUGGGGAAUAUUGCACAAUGGGGGAAACCCUGAUGCAGCGACGCCGCGUGAGCGAUGAAGUAUUUCGGUAUGUAAAGCUCUAUCAGCAGGGAAGAAAAUGACGG